rnacentral:rRNA from 1 species
CCUACGGGUGACUGCAGUGGGGGAUAUUGCACAAUGGAGGAAACUCUGAUGCAGCGACGCCGCGUGAGGGAAGACGGUCUUCGGAUUGUAAACCUCUGUCUUUGGGGAAGAAAAUGACGGUACCCAAAGAGGAAGCUCCGGCUAACUACGUGCCGGCAGCGGCGGUAAUACGUAGGGAGCGAGCGUUGUCCGGAAUUACGGGGUGAAAGGGGGGCGUAGGCGGGCGAGAAAGUUGAAUGUUAAUUCUACCGGCUUAACUGGUAGCUGCGUUCAAAACUUCUUGUCUUGAGUGAAGUAGAGGCAGGCGGAAUGCCUGGUGUAGCGGUGAAAUGCGUAGAUAUUAGGCGGAACACCAGUGGCGAAGGCGGCCUGCUGGGCUUUAACUGACGCUGAGGCUCGAAAGCGUGGGGAGCAAACAGGAUUAGAUACCCUAGUAGUC